ACUCGCGACAUAGUAUUUUAGUCGUGUUUUUGGCUUUUUGCCAAACAUAUACCAAUAACUGAUCUAAUGAAGAAUUCUAAAAGCCGAUUUGAAUUUGUCGUCAAGCCUACUUGAAAUCGACUUUCCCACAUUUGAACUUCUCCGAAUAUUGAAAUACAAACAAUUUUUAAUAAUAUGACAUUUUUAGGAAUUUGGGGGGUUAAUAUCAAAAAUGUGGGAAAGUCAAUUUCAAGUAGACGAUUUGACCACAAAUUCAAAUCUGUUUUCAGAAUUCAGAAUUCUUAUCGCUUCAUUAGAUCUAUUGGUACGUUUGGAAACAAAAAACACGUCAAAAAUACUAUGUCACGCGUGUGUUAGACAACAACAGAAAAUCACGGUAUCGAAUCCCCUUAAUGGCCUUAAUGUUAUUGCGUUUGUGUGUACCAUCAACAUCAGUCCCAUGUGAAAGUGCCUUUACAAAAGCUGGCUACACCAUUCCCGAAAGACGUAAUAGUUUCCCAAGACUUUCCGGAAAAAAGAAGGCAAGUGUCAUCAGCAUAGAUAGCUAGAGAACCAGCUUAGACUUUCCUCAUUUAUUCCAAAACCUGGCAAAAUAUUCAUUAAUUCACCAUGGUCUACAGUAUCGAAAGCUUUAGCCAAGUCCAAAAAUAUUGCUAUAACUUUUUCACUAUUGUCUAAUUUUUCAUAAAUAAAUUGUGUUGUUGAAUAUAAAGCAUUGGUAGUACUCCUGCCCGGUCGAAAGCCGAACUGAAAUUGGGAUAAAAGUUUAUAUUUUUCUAAGUUAGA